rnacentral:rRNA from 1 species
AUGCCGUCCCGUCCUAUGCAAGGCGUCGCUCCCCCAAUUCCUUGUUCCCCCAAAUCCCUAGCGAGGCUCUGUGCUGCAUUCGGCGCAAUGGGGCGGAAGGAGAUCAUGGAGCCCGGCAUCGGCGGGCCGAAGGAGAUCUGGGACCUCGUCAGCGGCAAGCAGAUGGAGACCAUCGGCCUCGUCAGCGGCAAGCAGAUGGAGACCAUUGGCCUCGGCAGCGGCAAGCUCCAGGACUAUCCCUUGGUGAGGCGGCUCCGCAACCGGCGGCUCCUCACCUACCUCUGGCUCCAGGGCUUCGACGCCGCCUACGACAGCGUUGUGCAUGAGUCGGGUGUGCAGAUGAGCAGGCUACAUCUGCGGCAGCUGCUGAUCCGGGGCCAGUGGAGAGAGGCCAUCAAGUACAUAACGCGCUUCCUGCCGCCGGCCGUUGAUCGGGGCGUCGAGACCCGUUCCCUCCUCAUCUUCCUCCACGCGCUCUGGUCCCUGGCAAACGUCGCCGGGUGCUCAGCGGGCGGCUUCGCGAACCAGUCCGUGCACCGCGACCUCAGCUUCCUCAAGUCCAUUUGCAGUCGCAGCGCCAAGCUCGCCUCCAUCCUCCAAUACACACUCCACUCGCCGCAAUUUAGGGCGUCCCUGAACUGGAUACUGGUGAGGGAGAAGGCAUCGUUCAUUGCCGAUGACUUGGCUCUUGAGAGUCCUGAGUUGAGACGCAAGUUGCUAUUGCCCGGCGGCCCAGGUCUCCCGCAGGACUUGUUUCCCAUCAGUCCCCUUCGUCCAAGGCGCCACUGGACGCAACAAUUCCCGCGGCCAAAGCCGGAGGCUAUUGCCAAGUGCUAUCUCAAGAGGAGGAGGAGCCUGCCCUCUGCAAGCCCACUUUAUGGAUUGCCCGAUAAUGCAGUCAGCCGGGUGUCAGAUCUUAUUGAGGGGUGUUUAAAAGCCGGUAAACUUCCGGAGCUCCAUCGAGGGAACCCACUUCAAUCAAAUGCAAAGGAAGAAAUGGCUAGAGUGCAGGGUCAAAGCUCAAAAGCUUGUUUCCUUUGGGUGAAAGUAGAAAGGAAGAAAGGAAGAAAGACCAUGGGGCCACGUACGCUGGGCAGUCGGUCAGGAUACUUGGGUCAGCCUUGA